rnacentral:rRNA from 1 species
GUCUGUGGCCAUACAUCCAUAUCAAUGACGGAUCUCGUUUGAUCUCGGACGCUAAGCGAGGAUGGGCCUGGUUAGUUCUUGGAAGGGAGACUGCUGUGAAUUUAAAGUGUCACAUUGG